rnacentral:rRNA from 1 species
AGAGCGAACGCUGGCGGCAGGCCUAAUACAUGCAAGUCGAACGCACCUUCGGGUGAGUGGCGGACGGGUGAGUAACACGUGGGAACGUGCCCUUUGGUUCGGAAUAAUCCGGGGAAACCUGGCCUAAUACCGAAUGUGCCCCCUCCUUUAACCAGGGGGGUGGGAAAGAUUUAUCGCCAUUGGAGCGGCCCGCGUCUGAUUAGCUAGUUGGUGAGGUAAAGGCCCACCAAGGCUACGAUCAGUAGCUGGUCUGAGAGGAUGAUCAGCCACACUGGGACUGAGACACGGCCCAGACUCCUACGGGAGGCAGCAGUAGGGAAUCUUGCGCAAUGGGCGAAAGCCUGACGCAGCCAUGCCGCGUGAAUGAUGAAGGUCUUAGGAUUGUAAAAUUCUUUCAGCGGGGAAGAUAAUGACGGUACCCGCAGAAGAAGCUCCGGCUAACUUCGUGCCAGCAGCCGC